GACCGCCUACGGGACGCAGCAGUGGGGAAUAUUGGGCAAUGGGCGCAAGCCUGACCCAGCAACGCCGCGUGAAGGAAGAAGGCUUUCGGGUUGUAAACUUCUUUUCUGAGGGACGAAGAAAGUGACGGUACCUCAGGAAUAAGCCACGGCUAACUACGUGCCAGCAGCCGCGGUAAUACGUAGGUGGCAAGCGUUAUCCGGAUUUAUUGGGUGUAAAGGGCGUGUAGGCGGGAAAGCAAGUCAGAUGUGAAAACUCA
rnacentral:rRNA from 1 species